rnacentral:rRNA from 1 species
AAACUUUCAACAACGGAUCUCUUGGUUCUGGCAUCGAUGAAGAACGCAGCGAAAUGCGAUAAGUAAUGUGAAUUGCAGAAUUCAGUGAAUCAUCGAAUCUUUGAACGCACAUUGCGCCCGCCAGCACUCUGGCGGGCAUGCCUGUUCGAGCGUCAUUG